AUUGAACGCUGGCGGCAUGCUUUACACAUGCAAGUCGAACGGUAGGGUAGCAAUACCUGAGAGUGGCGAACGGGUGAGUAAUGCAUCGGAACAUGCCCAUUAGUGGGGGAUAGCCCGGCGAAAGCCGGAUUAAUACCGCAUACGAUCUAUGGAUGAAAGCCGGGGACCGCAAGGCCUGGCGCUAAUGGAGGGGCCGAUGUCAGAUUAGCUAGUUGGUGGGGUAAAGGCUCACCAAGGCAACGAUCUGUAGCUGGUUUGAGAGAACGACCAGCCACACUGGGACUGAGACACGGCCCAGACUCCUACGGGAGGCAGCAGUGGGGAAUUUUGGACAAUGGGCGCAAGCCUGAUCCAGCAAUGCCGCGUGCAGGAUGAAGGCCUUCGGGUUGUAAACUGCUUUUGUACGGAACGAAACAGCUCUGGUUAAUACCCGGGGCUAAUGACGGUACCGUAAGAAUAAGCACCGGCUAACUACGUGCCAGCAGCCGCCGUAA
rnacentral:rRNA from 1 species